rnacentral:piRNA from 1 species
UGGGAUGGGUCUACAAACAUAUGUUAUGGUC